CAGUAGCCGCGGGAAUACGGAGGGUGCAAGCGUUGUCCGGAUUUAUUGGGUUUAAAGGGUGCGCAGGCGGGGGGGUCAGUCCGCGGUGAAAGACGAUCGCUCAACGAUUGCAGUGCCGUGGAUACUGCCCUUCUUGAAUCUGGUUGAGGCCGGUGGAAUUGACCGUGUAGCGGUGAAAUGCAUAGAUAUGGUCAAGAACUCCAAUUGCGAAGGCAGCCGGCUGGGCCAGCACUGACACUGAGAGACGAAAGCUAGGGGAGCAAAUGGGAUUAGAUACCCGAGUAGUCCCUGUCUCUUAUAC
rnacentral:rRNA from 1 species